UACGUAGGGUGCGAGCGUUAAUCGGAAUUACUGGGCGUAAAGCGUGCGCAGGCGGUUCGCUGUGUCCGAUGUGAAAGCCCCGGGCUUAACCUGGGAAUGGCAUUGGAAACUGGCGGGCUUGAGUGCGGCAGAGGGGGGUGGAAUUCCCGGUGUAGUGGUGAAAUGCGUAGAGAUCGGGAGGAACACCAGUGGCGAAGGCGGCCCCCUGGGCCGCUCCUGACGCUGAGACGCGAAGGCGCGGGGAGCGAACGGG
rnacentral:rRNA from 1 species